AUUGAACGCUGGCGGCAUGCCUAACACAUGCAAGUCGAACGGAGCGGCGGACGGGUGAGUAAUGUCUAGGAAUGUGCCUGGUAGUGGGGGAUAACUUCCGGAAAGGGGAGCUAAUACCGCAUACUAUCAGAUGAGCCUAUGUCGGAUUAGCUAGUUGGUGGGGUAAAGGCUUACCAAGGCGACGAUCCGUAACUGGUUUGAGAGGAUGACCAGUCACACUGGGACUGAGACACGGUCCAGACUCCUACGGGAGGCAGCAGUGGGGAAGAUUGGACAAUGGGCGAAACCCUGAUCCAGCCAUGCCGCGGGUGCGAAGAAGGCCUUCGGAUUGUAAAGCACUUUAAGUUGGAAGGCGUUACCUGCAGAAUAAGCACCGGCUAACUACGUGCCAGCAGCCGCGGUAAUAC
rnacentral:rRNA from 1 species